rnacentral:tRNA from 1 species
GCCGGGGUAGCUCAGUGGUAGAGAAUCGAACGCAUUAUUCGAAGGUCGCAGGUUCGGUUCCUGCCCCCGGCA